UUUCAAUUUACAGAAGCACUCAGCAUGCCCCAGUGCCACAUUUUGGGGAAUCAUUUUCUGUACUCCGACACUAGGAACUGAUUAGCCUUUGGCGAAUUGUGUAUUAUUUCUGAACCUCAGUUUCUUUAUCUGUAAAACGGGAAAAAAAUGAUACCUACUCCACAGAAUUAUCAUAAGGCUAAAUAGUAUGGUAAUAUAUGUGAAAAAAAUUAGCACAGUGCCUUUCACAAAGCAGAUACUAAAAAAUGUCAGCAACUUCCCCUCAUCCUCCUUCACUUCAUGCUUUACAUGAACCAGGGGGAUAUUUAACCAAUCACAGUAAGCUGGCCAUUUUGGAAAGCAUGAUCGUAUUAUGUAUUGUACAGCUUGGGGGUGGCAUGUACUGCCGCAGACAUUACCUUCUUGCCAGGACAAUGGAGAUUGAUGAGUAGAGGAGGGGGAAGGCCCGAAUGUGGGGCUCCAUCAGGCAGCUGAUGGACCCUAUGAUCCAUGCCCCUCUCAGUUGCUUGGUUUGAGGCAAGAUGAGCAGAGCCAGGAACAGCUGAGCAAACAAAGUAAUCCAGACCAUACUUGUGGUAAUGGUGACAAACUGUAAGAAAUAACAUCAAUCAUUUGAAACAAUGACGGUCUUCUCAGCCCUGUUCACCUGGAUUGGAGGAGGAAAAAAAGCAUCAUAAAGCUGACAGAGUGGACUGUGAAACCAAUUCAUCGUGUGGCCUGUCCAAUGAAUUACAUUUACUCCCAAUUCUGAAAGGUGCUUUAAAACAAACACAAGAGGAGCCAGCACUUCUCUCAUUAGAUUACCAGUAGGCGGAAACCUUGGGCUUUAUGUGAAAAAGUCCCACUUUACCAACCUGAAGAGCAUCUUACCUCGAAAGCAUUCAUCAGGACAGUGGCUCCCAAUUAGAAAUACCCCACAUGGACUAAGAAGAAGCAUUUCUAUGGGAGAUAUUGUUAUCACUGCAACACAGGAGCUAAAAGGAGUAAUUAAUGCAUUAACCGAGAUCACCUUGUU
rnacentral:lncRNA from 10 species